UACGUAGGCAGCAAGCGUUGUUCGGAAUUACUGGGCGUAAAGGGCUCGUAGGUGGCCAACUAAGUCAGACGUGAAAUCCCUCAGCUUAACUGGGGAACUGCGUCUGAUACUGGAUGGCUUGAGUUUGGGAGAGGGAUGCGGAAUUCCAGGUGUAGCGGUGAAAUGCGUAGAUAUCAGGAGGAACACCUGUGGUGUAGACAGCUUACUGGACCAUUUCUGACGCUGAGACACGAAAGCGUGGGUAGCAAACAGG
rnacentral:rRNA from 1 species